rnacentral:lncRNA from 1 species
UCAAAACCCAUCAAUAUGGCCUUGGCUCGUUUGGCUUUGAGGAGUCUGCAGCAGAGGGUUCCCUCUUCUUCUUCUUCUUCUUUGCUGAGCCCUAGUCUCAGUGAGAGAGCUCUGACUGGACAGAGGUGGGGGCCGGAGAUUGUGAAGAGGUUCUCGGCAACGCCUGAUGCUGCCUCUGACAAGCCAUCUGGUGAGAAAACAGAGGUUGCUGUUUCUGAAGGUGACAGAAAGCCCAAGCUCUUCCCCAGGAAGCAGAGGAAGAGGAGCCUUUGGAGGAACAAUAGAAACGAUUUUGUCCCUUCCCUGAAUGGUACUUAUUCUUUCUCUCAUCACUAAAUCAACCACUCCAUUGAAAAUUUUCUAGCUUGGAAUAACUUAAUUCUCCUUUUCUUUUUUGCCUUAAGAGUUGUUCCCUCCAAGCAUAGGAAAUGCCCUGAUGCAAGCAACCCAACACAUGAACAGGCUACUUGAGAAUUUAGCACCUUCACGUCUGAUAGGCAGAUUAAAAGAGCAGGACCAGUGCUACAAACUCCGCUACGAAAUGCCCGGAUUGACCAAAGAGGAUGUGAAGAUCUCAGUUGAAGAUGGGAUCUUAUCCAUAAGAGGAGAGCACAAGGAGGAGGAGGAAGAA